rnacentral:rRNA from 1 species
UAAGGAAUAUUGGUCAAUGGACGAAAGUCUGAACCAGCCAUGCCGCGUGAAGGAUGAAGGUCCUCUGGAUUGUAAACUUCUUUUAUCUGGGACGAAAAAAGGGAAUUCUUUCUCACUUGACGGUACCAGAAGAAUAAGCACCGGCUAACUCCGUGCCAGCAGCCGCGGAAAUACGAAGGGUGCAAGCGUUAUCCGGAUUCAUUGGGUUUAAAGGGUGCGUAGGUGGGGCGUUAAGUCAGUGGUGAAAGCCCGCAGCUCAACUGUGGAAUUGCCAUUGAUACUGGCGCUCUUGAGUGCGCUUGAAGUAGGCGGAAUGUGCCGUGUAGCGGUGAAAUGCUUAGAUAUGGCACAGAACACCAAUUGCGAAGGCAGCUUACUAAGGCGAUACUGACGCUGAGGCAC